ACCUCCAGGGAUGGACGGGGCAUCCACAGCCUCUCUGGACAGAUAAAAAAACUGAAAUAAGAAACACGAAAGUAAGGAAUAAAAGAUGUGUACUUGAGUGACAGACUUCUUAGCAAGGAUUUCCAGCUUUCCUAGAACGUCGAGAUUUCUCCUAAAAGAAAAGUGACGGAACACAGAAGCAGAAGCCAGGCACAACUCCGAACUUUCCUCUCCCCCACCCCGAGGAGUUCCGUUUACUCCCGUUCCGGGUAAGGCCGUUUCAGCCGAGCUCUGCGCCUGCCCGCCCACCGUGAGACAACCGACAGAAUAAGCGGCUGCCAAAGGAAAAGUUCCAGCAGACGGCGCCUGGGAGCAAAAGCGCGAGGCGAACGGCAGAGCGAAGGAGAAACGCCGCGCAAAGCGAGCCGCAGGCAGAGCUGAGACGUGCCUCCAACGGAGGCAACCGGCCAUAGGCGCACUGAUAACGGUGGUGCUGCGAUGGAUACGGCACGCGGCGAAGCAAGACGGCGUUCUGCACUGACUUCACAGUACGCAGCAGGGCGAUGGCUGCAGGGCCGUGGGAGGAAGGAUACAAAAAAUAAAACAAAACCAAGGCGGCAGUUCACAGAGCACAGUCUCACGGAGCACAGCAGGUAGCUGUAGCUGCUGACCUCUGCAGCCCAGCUCUCCCCCCAGCAGGCAGUCGUUGCCCAUCCCCUCCUGUUGCUCAGGAGCUCCCUGAGCUCGCACAGCUGCAGCAGGAAGGUGAAGUAACAGCCAACUGCCGGGCAAAGCCCAGCAGCACAGCCGCCGAACACACACAGGUGAAUCUGCUUGCAUCGCUCUGCAGCAUGACAGCCCAAACACUCAGUUAAAUGGAAAGGAGCUUCCUAUUACCGCUGAUCCGUUUGUGAGCUUACAUUCACAGCAGCUCUGGAGUAGUAUUUUCCAGAAGGUAUUGGAUUAAAAACAUCCUCAUGUUUGUGUAAUUAGUGUUACCAUGACAAAACAGAGUUAAGAAGUACUAUCUUAUCUGCUGACUUGAAAAAAAAAUCAAGCCCAAAUACAGUUAUGCUAGAGAGCUUCUAAAAUGGCAUUCAACCAAACCAGUAAUGUGAAUAAUGGAAUAUACAUAAUGAACUAAGUGCAUAAAGAUCCUUUCCAUUAUAUCACACUUUCCCACACACAACAGGUGAUCAUGCAGUGUUUACACAGUAAAACUAUAUUUUUUGAACUUCUCCGCGCUGCUCAGAGAUGUCACCAAUAUAUUCAACUCAAAUACAGAAACAUUAAAUAUUCUAAUAAAAUUAGCUUUAUCUAUAUGUAUCUAUGUACAUAUAUAAACCACAAGUAAAAGGCAAAUAUACCAGAGUAUGCAUAGUUUUCAAAAGUGUAUCUCAAUCGAGCAUCUUCCUUCAUCUGAAAUAGAUUUAUCUUGUUCAUCUCAACAAGCCAAGCUUUGGGAUCAUGGCAUUUCAUGUUAUUUUGGAAACACAGUGAAAAACAUGGAAGGGAGAAUGAAAUUUAGAGGACAAAAAUGAGGCAUAUGCAUUUAGAACACACAUGCAAUAUGCUCUGAGCUUCCCUGAAAAAAAAAAAUAGUGCAAGUCAGUGUAUACACU